rnacentral:rRNA from 1 species
UACGGAGGAUGCAAGCGUUAUCCGGAAUGAUUGGGCGUAAAGCGUCCGCAGGUGGCUAUGUAAGUCUGCUGUUAAAGAGUGAGGCUCAACCUCAUAAAAGCAGUGGAAACUACAUGGCUAGAGUGCGUUCGGGGCAGAGGGAAUUCCUGGUGUAGCGGUGAAAUGCGUAGAGAUCAGGAAGAACACCGGUGGCGAAAGCGCUCUGCUGGACCUUAACUGACACUGAGGGACGAAAGCUAGGGGAGCGAAUGGG